rnacentral:rRNA from 1 species
AAUGAACGCUGGCGGCAUGCCUAACACAUGCAAGUCGAACGAGCACUUCGGGUCUUGUCUCGCCUGGGUUUGUCACGCGUGGGAUCAUUCCCUUAGGUUCAGCAUACCUCUCCGAAAGGGGUGCUAUUACCGGAUAAUGUCUACGGCCCAAAGAUUUAUCGCCUUUGGUUGGGCCCGCGUUGGAUUAGCUAGUUGUUAGGGUAAUAGCCUACCAAGGCGACGAUCCAUAGCUGGUCUGAGAGAAUGAUCAGCCACACUGGGACUGAGACACGGCACAGACUCCUACGGGAGGCAGCAGUGGGGAAUAUUGGACAAUGGGCGGAAGGCUGAACCAGCAAUGACGGGUGAGUGAUGAAGGCCGGAGGGUUGUAAAGCACAUGUAACCAGGAAGAUAAUGACAGUACCGGGAGAAUAAGCCCCGGCUAACUCCGUG